AAACCAGCACCUCAAGUGGUCAGGAUGAUUAUUGGGCCUAAAGCAUCCGUAGCCGGCUCUGUAAGUUUUCGGUUAAAUCUGUACGCUUAACGUACAGGCUGCCGGGAAUACUGCAGAGCUAGGGAGUGGGAGAGGUAGACGGUACUCGGGAGGAAGUGGUAAAAUGCUUUGAUCUCUCGAUGACCACCUGUGGCGAAGGCGGUCUACCAGAACACGUCCGACGGUGAGGGAUGAAAGCUGGGGGAGCAAACCGGAUUAGAAACCCUAGUAGUCC
rnacentral:rRNA from 1 species